rnacentral:rRNA from 1 species
UGGCGGACGGGUGAGUAAUGUCUGGGAAACUGCCCGAUGGAGGGGGAUAACUACUGGAAACGGUAGCUAAUACCGCAUAACGUCGCAAGACCAAAGAGGGGGACCUUCGGGCCUCUUGCCAUCGGAUGUGCCCAGAUGGGAUCAGCUAGUAGGUGGGGUAACGGCUCACCUAGGCGACGAUCCCUAGCUGGUCUGAGAGGAUGACCAGCCACACUGGAACUGAGACACGGUCCAG